ensembl:lncRNA uncharacterized LOC113137524
CAUGAAUUUUGUAAACUGCACUAGAGUCUCUCAUAGACGUGAUGUAACUCUACGUCUGUCGGACAUGGGAGUGAUUCGAUGUUACUUAGGAGAUGAACCACAAAGAGGAAACAGCAGCAUCACAUACAGAUGAAUAAAAACCUCAUACAACAUCCGUCGGUCACAGAGGACGGACACAGAAUGGCUCCGCUGGCACUGAUCCUUAUUUUUCUGCUUCACUUUGAAGCAGGUCUUAGUGGAAAACGUUAUUAUCUCUAUCACACACCUGGACAAGACGUCACUAUGACCUGUGCCAAUGUUUCUGACACAAAAUGCUCCAACAUCAACUGGCUUUAUAACGCCGCUAAGACUGAGACUAUAUAUGACGUUCAGGAUGGAAACAUUAUAAAGAGCUCAGUUCGAGCUGCCAGGCUGAGUCUGGGCCCUGACUGCUCUGUGGUCAUCAGAAACAUCACUGCUGAGGAUGUAGGUCUGUACACCUGUCGGCGAGGGAGGAACCCUGGACAGGAUGCAGCCACAUUUCUAAGUGUUCUGACAAUCUCUCUGUUUCCUCCAGACACUGGUCCACAGAUGGAUGAAGUGACAUUACAGUGCUCUCUGCUGAGAUUCAGUAAAGAUGUUCGCUGUCGAGAGAACAGCUUCAGCUGGAUGGACGAGGCAGGAACGCUGCUGCUUGGUGAACAGUCCCAGUCUGAGACCCAAUGUGUGUCUCGUCUGACUGUGAAGCGUCAGAGCCUUGACAACAGGACGUACACCUGCUGGUUUGUUGAUGAGGAGAACAAUGUGAAGAUACAGACUGAAUACACACGUGUCCUCACCACAGACUGGACUCUGAGCUACAUCAUGUUGCCUCUGCGUGUUACAGGACUGAUCCUAAUGAUUGUCAUCACUGUUCUUCUCAUCAGAGACAGAGUGAGAAAAAAGCCACUUGAAGACGACUGUGCUCGUGGUGACAACAAUGACGCCACAGUUUCCUAUGAAAAUGUGUGAAACUGUUCUGCUGCUGUCACAUCGCACUGAGCACCUUAAGGGGGGGGGGGGGGGGGGGUCAGGUACCAUUGAAGCCAUUUCACCUCGGACUUUCCCUCCAGUCCUGCUCACCUGACCCUCCCCUCUCACCCUCUCACUCACACACCUGUUCCCAGUUUUCCCAUCACUGCUCCCUGUUUAAACCAGUUGGUUUAAAAGCUCCCGAUGUUGUUUGUGUUGUACUUUUCAGCCUUUGCCGACCACUGAAAGUUCUGUAAGUCAAAUGUUUUGGCUUUUUUCCUUCCUGGACUUUGCUGCCUGUUUAUGACCUGUCUGCCCUGCACGCCUGGAUUUAUUUACCUGAACUCUGCAAAUCUGUUUUCCUUUUGUUUGUGAAGGCCACAUCCCUGUUUGCCUGCAACUCUGCGUGUUGGUCCCCCAUCCUGUUGCCCCACGUUUCUCAGUUUGUGUCGUCAUUUAUUUAGUUUAGUUCCAUCAAAGUUUGUUUUCAUUACAGUUUUUAAAUGAAUUGAAUUAAACCAGAUUACACAGUCCUCUGUUAUUAAGUAUUAAGAGUCUGAAAUCUGCUUUUGCAGAAACAGUGUGAGAAGCUACAAAUUAUGAGCUAAAUUGGUAAAAGAAGGUGCAGACGUUUUUAUGCCUGAAGUUUCCUGGUGGAACAUGUUAAAAAGAAGAUUUAAAAGCGUAUCUUUUAUUAUAUUAUGGCAACAGGCAGGUUUUACUGGAGCUUCUGUAAAAUAAAGUGACUGCAAACCAUGUGACCUUCACUGUGUUGGCUAAUAUUUAUAAUAUUUGUAAAAUAUGUCUGUGAUAUUUGUUUUUGCAGUAAGUCUUAGACUCACACCUGAAACUUUAAUAAAUAUAUGGAGCUGAGAACAUGAUC